rnacentral:tRNA from 1 species
GGUGGGGUGCGAGAGUGGUUGAAUCGGGCAGUCCUGAAAACUGCUGUACCUGAGAAGGUACCAUGGGUUCGAAUCCCUCCCUCUCCG